GACGUAGGGCGCGAGCGUUGUCCGGAAUUAUUGGGCGUAAAGAGCUCGUAGGCGGUGUGUCGCGUCGGCCGUGAAAACCUGGGGCUCAACUCUGGGCGUGCGGUCGAUACGGGCAUCACUGGAGUUCGGCAGGGGAGACUGGAAUUCCUGGUGUAGCGGUGAAAUGCGCAGAUAUCAGGAGGAACACCGGUGGCGAAGGCGGGUCUCUGGGCCAUUACUGACGCUGAGGAGCGAAAGCGUGGGGAGCGAACAGG
rnacentral:rRNA from 1 species